CUACGGAGGGUGCAAGCGUUACUCGGAAUCACUGGGCGUAAAGCGCGCGCAGGCGGUUUUUUAAGUUGGAUGUGAAAUCCUAUAGCUUAACUAUAGAACUGCAUCCAAAACUAUUAGACUAGAGUCUGGGAGAGGUAAGUGGAAUUAGUUGUAUAGGGGUAAAAUCCGUAGAGAUAACUAGGAAUACCAAAAGCGAAGGCAACUUACUGGAACAGUACUGACGCUGAGGCGCGAAAGCGAGGGGAGCAAACAGGAUUAGAAACCCCAGUAGUCC
rnacentral:rRNA from 1 species